rnacentral:lncRNA from 1 species
GAUUCCAGCUGCCUGAAUCAGACCCCCUGCUUGGGCACAGAAUCAUCAACCUGCUGCGCAUUAACCUCCCAAACCGCACUUGGACAUGGUAGUCUUAGGGGACCGGGGAUGCCUUGUAAUGCUGGACUCUGCUCUACAAAGAUCACAUAGCUGGGGAUGGAGAGGGAUGUGAGCCUGCGAAACCGAACAGUGCCAUCGCCUGACGCCAACGCUGCUGCCUCUGCUCCCUCCUCUGCUCCAGUCCACCUGGUUCCUGCUGCCCGGUAACUCUGGAUGGUCUCAGUUCGGGGAUUCCCUGCUCUACUCUUCCUGAGCUGAGCUGGGCUCCAGUCUUGUCCCCGCAGCAGACGUGCUUAGGUCCGUGUUGGGAUUUUGGAGCUCUCCAGGCACUUCAGGGAGAGGAGGAUGCAGGAAUAGCUUUGAGCAGAAGAAACUUUCAUGGAUCCCAUCUCCUCUUACCUACAAGGAUCGCUGGAAAUGGGGUCGGGACCUGGGACAGUGCAAAUGGGUGGCAAAUAGGUGCAAUGACUGAGGGGAAAGUAGCUAUUAAACGCAAGCCCCAGUUGAAGGUUCUGGGAACUCCCCCUCCCGCACCGCCACCCCAUUUAAUCUUGGGUCCCAAUUUAAGGCUGUACCAG